rnacentral:rRNA from 1 species
UACGUAGGGCGCAAGCGUUGUCCGGAAUUAUUGGGCGUAAAGAGCUCGUAGGCGGUUUGUCGCGUCUGCUGUGAAAACCUAAGGCUCAACCUUGGGCUUGCAGUGGGUACGGGCAGACUAGAGUGCGGUAGGGGGUGACUGGAAUUCCUGGUGUAGCGGUGGAAUGCGCAGAUAUCAGGAGGAACACCGAUGGCGAAGGCAGGUCACUGGGCCGCAACUGACGCUGGAGGAGCGAAAGCAUGGGAGCGAACAGG